GUUAAAAAGCUCGUAGUCGAAUCUGUGUCGCGCGCCGCCGGUUCAUCGCUCGCGGUGUCAACUGGCGUGUCGCGGGACGUCCUGCCGGUGGACGCGGUUCGUGUUCGUUGCGCGUUCGCGCGCGCUUCGGGCUCGGACGGUCCAACUUCAACAAUCCCACCGCGGUGCUCUUCGCUGAGUGUCGAGGUGGGCCGGCACGUUUACUUUGAACAAAUUAGAGUGCUUAAAGCAGGCUAAAAUUUCGCCUGAAUACUGUGUGCAUGGAAUAAUGGAAUAGGACCUCGGUUCUAUUUUGUUGGUUUUCGGAACC
rnacentral:rRNA from 2 species